rnacentral:rRNA from 1 species
AACGAACGCUGGCGGCAUGCCUAACACAUGCAAGUCGAACGAGACCUUCGGGUCUAGUGGCGCACGGGUGCGUAACGCGUGGGAACCUGCCCUUAGGUUCGGAAUAACUCCCCGAAAGGGGUGCUAAUACCGGAUAAUGUCUUCGGACCAAAGAUUUAUCGCCUUUGGAUGGGCCCGCGUUGGAUUAGCUAGUUGGUAGGGUAAAAGCCUACCAAGGCGACGAUCCAUAGCUGGUCUGAGAGGAUGAUCAGCCACACUGGGACUGAGACACGGCCCAGACUCCUACGGGAGGCAGCAGUGGGUAAUAUUGGACAAUGGGCGAAAUCCUGAUCCAGCAAUGCCGCGUGAGUGAUGAAGGCCUUAGGGUUGUAAAGCUCUUUUACCCGGGAUGAUAAUGACAGUACCGAGAGAAUAAGCUCCGGCUAACUCCGUG